GCUGCUUCGUAGGGCGGGUCUUGGCGUGGCGGGAUUCGUAAAUUUGCAGAGAUGUCACAUCGUGCCUGCAACUGAACUGACCAGGUGGAGCUGGACCUAAACAUCGCUUCAACUGGGCUUUUGUUUAUCUUCAUCAUAUCAGCGAUUCUUGUGCUUGGCACACUCAUUUGGCUCAAGCAGAUGGUGAUCAAUCCACACAUAGGUAGUCCCAGCAGUAAAAGAUACUGUGGGUUCGACUUAUAGCCCAUUAAGAUGAUGACUUCAGCAGUGUUGCACAAGCACUGAUCAGAAAAUACCCCUGCCUCGCUGAGCCUGGACCACACAAAUGGUAUGGCUGGAAAAACAGCCUUAAAUUUAAGAUGGCCAAUUAUCGCACAAAGCUUUGAAAAGCUGGAUGUGAGGAUGUAGCAAUCCUGGUUGAAAAUGGUUGAACGAUGGCCAGCACUCUUCACAGAGAGACAGGUGUUUGCUGAGUUUAAUAGAAUCGCCAGUAAGAAUCUUGAGGGAGACUUUUUUUGAGGCUCAGGACCAGUACACGCCACGUUUCAUCAAACUCUUCAAAACAAAGAAGGGAACUGUUGGUCAGAAACUCAGGGAGCUGAUUCAGCACAUAAGCUGUAAGGUAAGUAGGUUCAUUUUGCUUUUGAUCUGUAUGAUAGUUCAUCAAAUGAGCCGAUUCAGACCAACCUAUUUUAUUUCCUGUCUGCUUGUGU